rnacentral:rRNA from 1 species
GAUCAUGGCUCAGGAUGAACGCUAGCUACAGGCUUAACACAUGCAAGUCGGGGGGCAGCAUUUUAGUUUGCUUGCAAACUAAAGAUGGCGACCGGCGCACGGGUGAGUAACACGUAUCCAACCUGCCGAUAACUCAGGGAUAGCCUUUCGAAAGAAAGAUUAAUACCUGAUGGCAUAGGAUUAUCGCAUGAUAAUCCUAUUAAAGAAUUUCGGUUAUCGAUGGGGAUGCGUUCCA